rnacentral:rRNA from 1 species
UUUGGCUCUUAUGCUGAAGGGGCCCCAGGCCCAGAUGGCUUCUCCUUCCUGUUUUAUCAGCACUUUUGGGAUUUGAUUAAACUAGACUUGCUUGCUCUCUUUGCAGAUUGGGAGAAUGGAGAGCUUGAUUUAUAUAUGCUUAAUUUCUCCCUUCUUACUCUGGUUCCUAAAGAACCAAAUGCUAUUAGACUAGAAAGAUUUAGACCUCUUGCCAUGACUAAUUGUAGUUUUAAAAUCUUCUCUAAAUGUUGUACUAAUAGGUUUGGCCGAGUGUGUGAUGAUAUUAUUUUACAAAACCAAACUGCCUUUAUGAAAGGGAGGUUCAUUAUGGAGAGUAUAGUUGCUUCUCAUGAGAUUGUUCACUCUCUGGCCUCCUCUAGACUUCCUGGUUUUGUUUUUAAGCUAGACUAUGAGAAAGCUUAUGACAUGAUUAAUAGAGAUUUUCUUUUUGAAGUGCUAUCCAGUAGAGGCUUUAGCCCCAAAUGGAUUGAGAGAAUUAGGACUCUA